UGCAAGGGCACUCUGUGUUACAAGAAAAAUUUUAUUGUAAUCCAAUUUGUAACCUUGCUAGAAGAAAAAUCACAAAAUUUGAAUUUGUAUCCCGUUUUUAAAGGAAUCAAACAGAAAGUAGUGAAACAAUCAAUUUGAUUUCU